rnacentral:rRNA from 1 species
GACGAACGCUGGCGGCGUGCCUAAUACAUGCAAGUCGAACGAGGGCACUCACGUAGCAAUACGAGGGUGUUCCUAGUGGCGAACGGGUGAGUAACACGUUGGUGACCUGCCCCGAAGUGAGGGAUAACACCGCGAAAGUGGUGCUAAUACCCCUAUGUGACCCGAGGGAUUAGAUGCCCUUGGUGGAAAGGCGAAAGCCGCUUCGGGAGGGGCCUGCGGCCCAACAGCUAGUUGGCAGGGUAAUGGCCUACCAAGGCGACGACGGGUAGGGGGCCUGAGAGGGUGGCCCCCCACACUGGCACUGAAACACGGGCCAGACACCUACGGGUGGCAGCAGUAGGGAAUAUUGGACAAUGGGCGAAAGCCUGAUCCAGCAACGCCGCGUGCGCGAUGACGGCCUUCGGGUUGUAAAGCGCUUUUCGGGGGGAUGAGGAAGGACAGUACCCCGGAAUAAGUCUCGGCUAACUACGUGCCAGCCGCCGCCGUAAUAC